rnacentral:rRNA from 1 species
CCUACGGGAGGCAGCAGUGGGGAAUUUUGGACCAUGGGCGAAAGCCUGAUCCAGCAAUGCCGCGUGUGUGAAGAAGGCCUUCGGGUUGUAAAGCACUUUUGUCCGGAAAGAAAUCCUCUGGGUUAAUACCUCGGGGGGAUGACGGUACCGGAAGAAUAAGCACCGGCUAACUACGUGCCAGCAGCCGCGGUAAUACGUAGGGUGCAAGCGUUAAUCGGAAUUACUGGGCGUAAAGCGUGCGCAGGCGGUUUUGUAAGACGGAUGUGAAAUCCCCGGGCUUAACCUGGGAACUGCAUUCGUGACUGCAAGGCUAGAGUAUGGCAGAGGGGGGUAGAAUUCCACGUGUAGCAGUGAAAUGCGUAGAGAUGUGGAGGAAUACCGAUGGCGAAGGCAGCCCCCUGGGCCAAUACUGACGCUCAUGCACGAAAGCGUGGGGAGCAAACAGGAUUAGAUACCCUGGUAGUCCACGCCCUAAACGAUGUCAACUAGUUGUUGGGGAUUCAUUUCCUUAGUAACGAAGCUAACGCGUGAAGUUGACCAAUCGAAUUCCCGCGGANCGCCANGGCGGCCGGNGAGCAGC